UGUAAGACUGGGAUAACUCCGGGAAACCGGGGCUAAUACCGGAUGGUUGUUUGAACCGCAUGGUUCAGACAUAAAAGGUGGCUUCGGCUACCACUUACAGAUGGACCCGCGGCGCAUUAGCUAGUUGGUGAGGUAACGGCUCACCAAGGCGACGAUGCGUAGCCGACCUGAGAGGGUGAUCGGCCACACUGGGACUGAGACACGGCCCAGACUCCUACGGGAGGCAGCAGUAGGGAAUCUUCCGCAAUGGACGAAAGUCUGACGGAGCAACGCCGCGUGAGUGAUGAAGGUUUUCGGAUCGUAAAGCUCUGUUGUUAGGGAAGAACAAGUGCCGUUCAAAUAGGGCGGCACCUUGACGGUACCUAACCAGAAAGCCACGGCUAACUACGUGCCAGCAGCCGCGGUAAUACGUAGGUGGCAAGCGUUGUCCGGAAUUAUUGGGCGUAAAGGGCUCGCAGGCGGUUUCUUAAGUCUGAUGUGAAAGCCCCCGGCUCAACCGGGGAGGGUCAUUGGAAACUGGGGAACUUGAGUGCAGAAGAGGAGAGUGGAAUUCCACGUGUAGCGGUGAAAUGCGUAGAGAUGUGGAGGAACACCA
rnacentral:rRNA from 1 species